rnacentral:misc_RNA from 1 species
GAUCCAUCUCCCCUAGUCUCGGCCGGCCCAAAACGAACGGAGCAUAUACGGGGAGCCGCGGCACACAAACAUACACAAAAUAUAAAUAGGCCACGCCCAUUUGUGCAUAUUUCUACAUAUAUCCUCGCGACGGGCCCCCCGCCCCCCUGAGCCCCUUUUCCUCUUCCUUCUCUUUGCUCUCACAACAACCGGAGCUCUUUCUUUUUGAAAAGAGCCCUCUUUUGUUUCCUGACAGACCAAGUGGAAGAAGUGGUGGUGUGUCAACUUCAGAAGACAACGAACGACGCAUUUUUGGAUAGGAAAUUCGAAUUUUUGAAUUCCAAAAUUCGGUCUUCAAAAUGACGAUGGAAGCGUUGCUAACACCGAAUAACAACAAUGUUCCGACGAGUCCCGUUCAGACAACCUACACAAGUACACAACGAUACUGCUCCGCGCCAAAUGUGGAUAUUGGAGAAUCAAAAACAAAUUUAAUUAUCAAUUAUCUGCCACAAGGAAUGACACAAGAAGAAGUUCGGUCCCUUUUCACAUCGAUCGGAGAAAUUGAAUCUUGUAAAUUGGUCAGAGAUAAAGUAACAGGUAUCAUAUGCCCGUCCAUCAAAUGAUCAAAUCAAAGGUUCAAACUUAUAUGUUUCUGGAAUUCCAAAAUCGAUGACUCUGCACGAAUUGGAAUCGAUUUUUCGGCCAUUUGGACAGAUUAUCACAUCUCGAAUAUUGUCAGAUAAUGUAACUGGACUCUCAAAAGGCGUUGGAUUUGUACGUUUCGACAAAAAAGACGAAGCUGAUGUUGCAAUUAAAACACUAAAUGGAAGUAUUCCAUCAGGAUGUUCAGAGCAAAUCACAGUGAAAUUCGCAAAUAAUCCAGCAAGUAACAAUCCGAAAGGACUGCUGAGUGAUCUGGAAGCCGUACAGCAAGCCGCCACAACACUGGUACCAUUGAGCACAAUUCUUGGAGCACCGACGCUGAGAGCAACUGCUGGAGGAAUCGGACCGAUGCACCAUGCUCCAAUUACUUCAAAGUACAGAUAUUCCCCAAUGGGCGCCAUCACUGCAGUAUCCCAGCCAACCGCUACACUUCCUGCUGACUAUUUGACAACUUCUGCGCUUCUUCAGAUGUCUCAGUUGAAUGCUCUUGCUGGCCUGAACCCUUUUGCCACAGCAACAGCCGUACCUGAUUUCACAGCUUCAUUAAUAGCGCAUCAGCAACAACAACACGCAGUUGCUCAACAACAUGCUGCACAAACAGCGAGCCCUCCGGCAACAAAUGGACAAGUUGCUGGAUUAGCAGCUCAUGCUCAGUUAUCUGCAUUGUCAGCUUCAGUUGCUGCCACGUUACCGCCAUCAGAUACUGCUGGAUAUUGCCUUUUCGUAUAUAAUCUUUCAUCAGAUACUGAUGAUACACUGUUAUGGCAGUUAUUCUCACAGUUUGGAGCAAUUGUUAAUGUUAAGAUUCUACGAGACCUGACACAACAGUGCAAAGGAUAUGCAUUUGUAUCGAUGAGCAACUACACAGAAGCCUAUAAUGCAAUGCUUUCUCUGAAUGGCACAAAUUUGGCUGGAAAGACGCUUCAAGUAGUUUUCAAGUCAUCAACUCCAUAUCGAGCUUAAACUUUUUUGCAAAAAUAUUCUAAUUUCAAUCAUUCCAGUCACUUGUCUCCCAUUCUCUUUUCAUUUUCUUCUUCUUCCCCAACCAAAGAAAUUGUGAUUUUCCCCCUCUGAAAUUCCAGUCACUUUUUGUGUGCUACUAGUCACCCCCCCCCCCCCCCCAUUGUGUUCCAUCCCCUUUCAUGAGCAACUGUGAGCAAAACCAAUCGAAUUCCGGUAACGAAAUAAGCCACGCCCCUUGAGAAUAAUGAGCUUCUGCCCACCCCUGUCCCAAAACCUUGAAUCAGCUUUAACAUCUUCAAAACUUUUAUCAAUUUUACCUAAAAUAUGCCAAAUCCUCCGUCACUUUUCAGUAUUUCGUACAGUUUUCUGAUUUUUAUACUGGGUUCCUUGUUUUUCUUUUACAAAGAUUUUUUGAAAUAUUAAAACUAAAAUGUGUAUAAUAAAAAUUGUAUACCAAUUUCAGUGAUAAAUAAUUUAUUUUA